UACAUACCUAUAGGACAAGGAUAUUUGUAUAUAUACAGAUACAUUGUAUGCAGCAGGCUGAGUGCAUUACUGCAUUCUUGAAAAGGGGAAAAGACUUGUAACUCUACAUGCUUGGAUUUUAUCUGUGUACGUAUCUAGUUGUGGUGGGUUUUUUUCCCUCUUUUAAUAAUUUUUGCACCCCCAUCCUCCUUUCUUAUUUUCCACAUGUCACGACACAAGUUGCCUUACCUGAGAGCCGGAUUAUAAAUAAAGCAGCUUCACAUGCAGACAAAAGAAAUGGUUUCUAUAGCAACAAAGACCACAUGGAAGCUCCUGGAGCAGCUCCUCCCCUUUUCCAGGUUGCCUGUCUCAUUGGCUCUUCUCUCAUUGGCUUGCAUGAAAAAUCUGAGUGAAAGAGGGACAUUGCUGCUCACAAUUUUGUACAGAUUGAUCCUUCCGCAAACCUUUCAAACAACCUCUGCAGGACCAAAUUGACAGCUCUUUAAAGCAGCCUGACGAAAAGCAGCAUUAAUUAAGUCAUUGCCGGACUGUAAUUGUGUUAAGAAGUAAAAAUCUAAUAUGAGAAAAGUGACUAUAAAGAAGAGUGUCAAGUUUAGAGGCGAGAUGAACAAGGGUGAUGUCAUGGUGGGCAUCUGCUAUAGACGACCAGACCAGGAGGAUGAGGUACAUGAAGCUUUCUUCAG